CUCUUCUUGGGGUUGCUUAUUUGAAGUAGGGCCUGCCCACUGAUUUAUUGAAGGGCCGCGGUAUUUUGACCGUGCAAAGGUAGCAUAAUCAUUAGUCUUUUAAUUGUGGACUGGUAUGAAUGGUUUGACGAGGUGCCGACUGUCUUUUUUAGAUGUAUUUGAAUUUGAUUUUUAGGUAAAAAUACCUAACUUUUUUUAUGGGACGAGAAGACCCUAUAGAGUUUUAUGAUGAAUUUUCUUUUGUUGUUUGUUUAUUUAUUUAGCUUUUUCUUUAUUUUGUUGGGGUGAUGGGAAGAUAAGUUAAACUCUUCUUUAUAAGUAUACACUAAUUUGUGGUUAAUUGAUCCUUUACUACUGAUUAUAAGAUUAAAUUACC
rnacentral:rRNA from 1 species